GUCGAGUCUAGGAGUCAAAGUUGCUAUGUUUUGAAAAGUGCAUGAUUAUAUAGUCUACUUUGAUCAGUUUGAUGUGCCUGUAGAAUUUCAAAAAAAUGAGAAAAGGAACAAAAAGAUUGAAAAACUCAAAAAAGGAAGGUGACAAGCAAAAAAAAACUCAGUCUCUAGAUAAGAAAAAUAAAAAAAAUAAAAAAGAGGACCAAACGUUCUCGAGUUAGUUGAAUAAAUUAGCACAAAAGCUCAAAGUCGUAUUUUUUG
rnacentral:lncRNA from 1 species